UAGCCAUUGGAGCUGAAGGAUCUUCAGAUUAUAUUUACUUGGCAAUGUAAACAAUGCUGUAUUUACUAAAUUGCAAUGCUUUAAGUUGCAGGGUUGAAAAGACAGGGGCAUGGCAUUGAAAUGAAGUGGUCUGGGUGCCUACUGAGUCCCUUUAAUAUACAGGAUACAUUUGUAAAACCAGAAGCUGGAAGCAACAUAGGCAGAGGGGUCAAUACCUGCC